AUUGAACGCUGGCGGCAGGCCUAACACAUGCAAGUCGAGCGGAUGAGAGGAGCUUGCUUCUCGAUUCAGCGGCGGACGGGUGAGUAAUGCCUAGGAAUCUGCCUGGUAGUGGGGGACAACGUUUCGAAAGGAACGCUAAUACCGCAUACGUCCUACGGGAGAAAGCAGGGGACCUUCGGGCCUUGCGCUAUCAGAUGAGCCUAGGUCGGAUUAGCUAGUUGGUGAGGUAAUGGCUCACCAAGGCGACGAUCCGUAACUGGUCUGAGAGGAUGAUCAGUCACACUGGAACUGAGACACGGUCCAGACUCCUACGGGAGGCAGCAGUGGGGAAUAUUGGACAAUGGGCGAAAGCCUGAUCCAGCUAUGCCGCGUGUGUGAAGAAGGUCUUCGGAUUGUAAAGCACUUUAAGUCGGGAGGAAGGGUUGUAGAUUAAUACUCUGCAAUUUUGACGUUACCGACAGAAUAAGCACCGGCUAACUCUGUGCCAGCCGCCGCGGUAAGAC
rnacentral:rRNA from 1 species